rnacentral:rRNA from 1 species
CACCAGCAGCUCAAGUGGUGAUCGCGUUUACUGGGUUUAAGGCGUGCGUAGUCGGUUCGGCAAGUCUUCUGUGAAAUCCUUCGGCUUAACCGAGGGGAUUGCAGAAAAUACUACCGGGCUUGAGGCCGGGGUAGGUGUGGGGUAUUCUUGGGGUAGCGGUGAAAUGCUAUAAUCCCUGGAGGACCACCCGCAGCGAAGGCGCCACACCGGAACGGGCCUGACGAUGAGGUACGAGAGCUAGGGGA